rnacentral:rRNA from 1 species
UACGUAGGGGGCGAGCGUUGUCCGGAGUUACUGGGCGUAAAGCGCUUGUAGGCGGUCCACCAAGUUUGGGGUGACAGUUGCCGACUUAAUCGGCAAAGUGCCUCAAAGACUGGCGGACUUGAGGGCCACAGAGGGACAUGGAACUCCAGGUGUAGUGGUGAAAUGCGUAGAUAUCUGGAAGAACACCAAAGGCGAAGGCAGUGUCCUGGGUGGUCGCUGACGCUGAGAGGCGAAAGCUAGGGGAGCGAAUGGG